UACGUAGGGGGCUAGCGUUGUCCGGAAUCAUUGGGCGUAAAGAGCGUGUAGGCGGUCCGGUAAGUCCGCUGUGAAAGUCGGGGGGCUCAACCCUUGAAUGCCGGUGGAUACUGUCGGGCUAGAGUCCGGAAGAGGAGAAUGGAAUUCCUGGGUGUAGCGGUGAAAUGCGCAGAUAUCAGGAAGAACACCCGUGGCGAAGGCGGUUCUCUGGGACGGUACUGACGCUGAGACGCGAAAGCGUGGGGAGGCGAACAGG
rnacentral:rRNA from 1 species